AUAUAUCAUAUCCCAUUUUCGAAAUGGAACAAAAGAAAAGCGAUCCUUUUCGUUUUUUCCAACAAAAAGUGAAAAAGCGGUUAGACUUGAAAAAACGGUCAUAAAUUUGACGCAUGAAUAGUUUCGGAUGCAGAAAGA
ensembl:ncRNA F56A11.13 ncRNA